GUUUGUCAAACUCUAAAAGUAAAGUAUCAAAGCAUAAUUCAUUCCAAAGUGCUUUUUAAAAGAUUUUUUUUAUUUGAGAGAGAGAGAGAGUAUGAGCAAGGGGGGAGAAUUAGAGGGAGAAGCAGACUCCCCACUGAGUAGGAAGGGCAAUGUAAGGGUAGAUCCCAGGACCCCGAGAACAUGACCUGAGCUGAAGGCAGAUACUCAACCAACUGAGCCACCCAGGCACCCCCCCAAAAAGCUUUUUAAAAAUUGCGACAUAUUUUUUAAUAUAUAUAUAUAUAUAUAUAUAUAUAUAUAUAUAUUUAAUUCCAGUGUAGAUAACAUGCAGUAUAAUAUUACUUUUAAGUGUACAAUAUAAUGAUUCAGCACUUCCACACAACACCCGGUGCUCAUCACAACAGGUUGCUCAUCACCCAUCACCUGCUUCACCCAUCCCUCCACCCACCACCUCUGUUUUUUAAUGUUUUUCUAUAAUUUUUUUACCAGCAGUUAGAUACUUGAAAAUUGGAGUGGAUUAAAAUAAACAAAAAACUAUUUCCCAAAUGAAAACAACUUAUCACAUGUUAUAAUUUCUGUUUAUUUAGAACCUUUCCACCUCCAGAUGCUUUUUAAGAUCAGUUCAUAAAAUUCCUUGAACAAGAAAACAUUUCAUCAUGUGGAAAUAAAUAUUUUUCUGCUUUCGCAUAUUUGAUCGGAAAGGGAAGACACAUGCCUCUCCUAAUAUCCCCGCCUGGGAAAUAAAGUAGAAUGGGGAGGAGGAAUGCUGAGUGGUUCUGCAAUCCAGUGAAGAGAGAAAACAAAGACAAUGUGAUAAAGAAAAAGAGGCCUUGUGCUGACUGAAUGCCCUAACCUGAGGGCUUUGCAAUUGCUUAGUCCAUUAUCUACAUCCCCAGGAUCAAAUGUGAGAUAUUUAGAGAUAUUUAUCAAAGAAAGGAGGAAAUAAAGCCACAAAACAAGAUAAAAGGAAAUGAUAGCACAUUCCCUACUAAGUGAAAAAGUUAGCUCUGCACUUAACUGGCUUUCAACUGCAAACUACACAGAAAAUAUUGAUGCAGAUAACAUAACAGGCUUUCAUAAGAAACACGCAGAUUUCAUAGGAAUCCAACAAAUUCACAUCUAUUAAUUGCUCACUUUGCCACAUAUAUACAUAUGUGCUCGUAGGAACUUCGAGAAGGAGCAUUGAAAUCUAAAGUUAUUGUUGUAAGACUUAAUUCAAGCUUUGCG
rnacentral:lncRNA from 12 species